AAUGAACGUUGGCGGCGUGGAUUAGGCAUGCGAGUCGUGCGAGAACCGUAGCAAUACGGGGACAGCGGCGAAAGGGAGAGGAACACGUGGGUACCUACCCUCGGAUUCAGGAUAGCCAUGGUAAACUAUGGGUAAUACUGAAUAACGUCUCCGGACCAAAGGUGUGAUUCCGUCCGGGGAGGGGCCCGCGUCCUAUUAGCUAGUUGGCGAGGUAACGGCUCACCAAGGCGAAGAUGGGUACGAGAUGUGAGAGCAUAAUCUCGCUCAUUGGGACUGAGACACUGCCCAGACACCUACGGGUGGCUGCAGUCGAGAAUCUUCGGCAAUGGGGGAAACCCUGACCGAGCGACGCCGCGUGUGAGAUGAAGGCCUUCGGGUUGUAAAUCACUGUCGUAGGGGAGGAAAUACUGGUGGGUUCUCCCAUCAGCUUGACCUAUCCUAGGAGGAAGGACGGGCUAAGUUCGUGCCAGCCGCCGCCGUAA
rnacentral:rRNA from 1 species